rnacentral:tRNA from 1 species
GCAUCGGUAGCUCAGCGGUAGAGCAGGUGACUCUUAAUCACUUGGUCGUGGGUUCGAAUCCCGCCCGGUGCACCA